rnacentral:rRNA from 1 species
GAAAAGAAACCAACAGGGAUUGCCUCAGUAACGGCGAGUGAAGUGGCAACAGCUCAAAUUUGAAAUCUGGCCUUCAGGCCCGAGUUGUAAUUUAUAGAGGAUGCUUUUGGUUAGGUGCCUUCCGAGUUCCCUGGAAUGGGACGCCAUAGAGGGUGAGAGCCCCGUCUGGUCGGAUGCCGAGCCUCUGUAAAGCUCCCUCGACGAGUCGAGUAGUUUGGGAAUGCUGCUCAAAAUGGGAGGUAUAUGUCUUCUAAAGCUAAAUACCGGGCAGAGACCGAUAGCGCACAAGUAGAGUGAUCGAAAGAUGAAAAGCACUUUGAAAAGAGAGUUAAAUAGCACGUGAAAUUGUUAAAAGGGAAGCGUUUAUGACCAGACUUGCGCCGACUGAUCAACCAGCGUUCUCGCUGGUGCACUCUGUCGGCUCAGGCCAGCAUCGGUUCGCCCCGGGGGACAAAAGCUAGGGGAAUGUGGCUCCUCGGAGUGUUAUAGCCCCUAGCAUAAUACCCUGAGGCGGACCGAGGUUCGCGCACUGCAUGGAUGCUGGCGUAAUGGUCAUCAACGACCCGUCUUGAAACACGGACCAAGGAGUCGUCUUCGUAUGCGAGUGUUCGGGUGUCAAACCCCUACGCGUAAUGAAAGUGAACGCAGGUGAGAGCUUCGGCGCAUCAUCGACCGAUCCUGAUGUUCUCGGAUGGAUUUGAGUAAGAGCAUACGGGGCCGGACCCGAAAGAAGGUGAACUAUGCUUGUAUAGGGUGAAGCCUGGGGAAACCCCGGUGGAGGCUCGCAGCGGUUCUGACGUGCAAAUCGAUCGUCAAAUAUGAGCAUGGGGGCGAAAGACUAAUCGAACCUUCUAGUAGCUGGUUUCCGCCGAAGUUUCCCUCAGGAUAGCAGUGUUGAACUCAGUUUUAUGAGGUAAAGCGAAUGAUUAGGGACCCGGGGGCGCUAUUUAGCCUUCAUCCAUUCUCAAACUUUAAAUAUGUAAGAAGCCCUUGUUGCUUAGGUGAACGUGGGCAUUCGAAUGUAUCAACACUAGUGGGCCAUUUUUGGUAAGCAGAACUGGCGAUGCGGGAUGAACCGAACGCGAGGUUAAGGUGCCAGAGUAGACGCUCAUCAGACACCACAAAAGGUGUUAGCACAUUAUGACAAUAGGACGGUGGCCAUGGAAGUCGGAAUCCGCUAAGGAUCGUGUAACAACUCACCUAUCGAAUGUGCUAGCCCUGAAAAUGGAUGGCGCUCAAGCGUCUCACCCAUACCUCGCCCUUAGGGUAGAAACGAUGCCCUAAGGAGUAGGCGGACGUGGGG